CGAGCGCAACCCUUGUCCUUAGUUACCAGCACGUUAUGGUGGGCACUCUAAGGAGACUGCCGGUGGACAAACCGGAGGAAGGUGGGGAUGACGUCAAGUCAUCAUGGCCCUUACGGCCUGGGCUACACACGUGCUACAAUGGUCGGUACAAAGGGUUGCCAAGCCGCGAGGUGGAGCUAAUCCCAUAAAACCGAUCGUAGUCCGGAUCGCAGUCUGCAACUCGACUGCGUGAAGUCGGAAUCGCUAGUAAUCGUGAAUCAGAAUGUCACGGUGAAUACGUUCCCGGGCCUU
rnacentral:rRNA from 1 species